GGUUAAGCGACUAAGCGUACACGGUGGAUGCCCUGGCAGUCAGAGGCGAUGAAGGACGUGCUAAUCUGCGAUAAGCGUCGGUAAGGUGAUAUGAACCGUUAUAACCGGCGAUUUCCGAAUGGGGAAACCCAGUGUGUUUCGACACACUAUCAUUAACUGAAUCCAUAGGUUAAUGAGGCGAACCGGGGGAACUGAAACAUCUAAGUACCCCGAGGAAAAGAAAUCAACCGAGAUUCCCCCAGUAGCGGCGAGCGAACGGGGAGCAGCCCAGAGCCUGAAUCAGUGUGUGUGUUAGUGGAAGCGUCUGGAAAGGCGCGCGAUACAGGGUGACAGCCCCGUACACAAAAAUGCACAUGCUGUGAGCUCGAUGAGUAGGGCGGGACACGUGGUAUCCUGUCUGAAUAUGGGGGGACCAUCCUCCAAGGCUAAAUACUCCUGACUGACCGAUAGUGAACCAGUACCGUGAGGGAAAGGCGAAAAGAACCCCGGCGAGGGGAGUGAAAAAGAACCUGAAACCGUGUACGUACAAGCAGUGGGAGCACAGAGCAAUCUGUGUGACUGCGUACCUUUUGUAUAAUGGGUCAGCGACUUAUAUUCUGUAGCAAGGUUAACCGAAUAGGGGAGCCGAAGGGAAACCGAGUCUUAACUGGGCGUUAAGUUGCAGGGUAUAGACCCGAAACCCGGUGAUCUAGCCAUGGGCAGGUUGAAGGUUGGGUAACACUAACUGGAGGACCGAACCGACUAAUGUUGAAAAAUUAGCGGAUGACUUGUGGCUGGGGGUGAAAGGCCAAUCAAACCGGGAGAUAGCUGGUUCUCCCCGAAAGCUAUUUAGGUAGCGCCUCGUGAAUUCAUCUCCGGGGGUAGAGCACUGUUUCGGCAAGGGGGUCAUCCCGACUUACCAACCCGAUGCAAACUGCGAAUACCGGAGAAUGUUAUCACGGGAGACACACGGCGGGUGCUAACGUCCGUCGUGAAGAGGGAAACAACCCAGACCGCCAGCUAAGGUCCCAAAGUCAUGGUUAAGUGGGAAACGAUGUGGGAAGGCCCAGACAGCCAGGAUGUUGGCUUAGAAGCAGCCAUCAUUUAAAGAAAGCGUAAUAGCUCACUGGUCGAGUCGGCCUGCGCGGAAGAUGUAACGGGGCUAAACCAUGCACCGAAGCUGCGGCAGCGACGCUUAUGCGUUGUUGGGUAGGGGAGCGUUCUGUAAGCCUGUGAAGGUGUGCUGUGAGGCAUGCUGGAGGUAUCAGAAGUGCGAAUGCUGACAUAAGUAACGAUAAAGCGGGUGAAAAGCCCGCUCGCCGGAAGACCAAGGGUUCCUGUCCAACGUUAAUCGGGGCAGGGUGAGUCGACCCCUAAGGCGAGGCCGAAAGGCGUAGUCGAUGGGAAACAGGUUAAUAUUCCUGUACUUGGUGUUACUGCGAAGGGGGGACGGAGAAGGCUAUGUUGGCCGGGCGACGGUUGUCCCGGUUUAAGCGUGUAGGCUGGUUUUCCAGGCAAAUCCGGAAAAUCAAGGCUGAGGCGUGAUGACGAGGCACUACGGUGCUGAAGCAACAAAUGCCCUGCUUCCAGGAAAAGCCUCUAAGCAUCAGGUAACAUCAAAUCGUACCCCAAACCGACACAGGUGGUCAGGUAGAGAAUACCAAGGCGCUUGAGAGAACUCGGGUGAAGGAACUAGGCAAAAUGGUGCCGUAACUUCGGGAGAAGGCACGCUGAUAUGUAGGUGAAGUCCCUCGCGGAUGGAGCUGAAAUCAGUCGAAGAUACCAGCUGGCUGCAACUGUUUAUUAAAAACACAGCACUGUGCAAACACGAAAGUGGACGUAUACGGUGUGACGCCUGCCCGGUGCCGGAAGGUUAAUUGAUGGGGUUAGCGGUAACGCGAAGCUCUUGAUCGAAGCCCCGGUAAACGGCGGCCGUAACUAUAACGGUCCUAAGGUAGCGAAAUUCCUUGUCGGGUAAGUUCCGACCUGCACGAAUGGCGUAAUGAUGGCCAGGCUGUCUCCACCCGAGACUCAGUGAAAUUGAACUCGCUGUGAAGAUGCAGUGUACCCGCGGCAAGACGGAAAGACCCCGUGAACCUUUACUAUAGCUUGACACUGAACAUUGAGCCUUGAUGUGUAGGAUAGGUGGGAGGCUU
rnacentral:rRNA from 1 species